rnacentral:rRNA from 1 species
UACGAGGGGGGCAAGCGUUGUUCGGAAUUAUUGGGCGUAAAGGGCGCGUAGGCGGUGCGGUAAGUCUGACGUGAAAUCUCCGGGCCUAACCCGGAAACUGCGUUGGAUACUAUCCGGCUAGAGGAAUGGAGGGGAGACUGGAAUACUUGGUGUAGCAGUGAAAUGCGUAGAUAUCAAGUGGAACACCAGUGGCGAAGGCGAGUCUCUGGACAUUUCCUGACGCUGAGGCACGAAAGCCAGGGGAGCAAACGGG